UGAUAGGUGAACUGCGGUAGGAUCAUU
rnacentral:rRNA from 1 species